rnacentral:rRNA from 1 species
UGUGUUCAUGCCAUCGCACGCAUAAUUAAUAGAACCGAAGUGAAACCGUCAUGGACACCUACGCACCAUUCCGAAGUUUACGAAGAUUGGAUAAGGCCAUGGUCAUGGACUCGAAAGAUGUAACUAUGUUGAUUAGGGUAGCAAGAGCACUUCUGUGAGGCUGGCAGCCGAUCUGACUGUGCAAAUCGAUCGUCAAUUUGAGCAUAGGGCGAAGAGACUAAAUCGAAACUAUCUAGUAGCUCGUUUUUUUACCCUGCUGAACUUAAGCAUAUCAAUAAGCGGAGGAAAAGAAACCAACAGGGAUUGCCCUAGUAACGGCGAGUGAAGCGGCAACAGCUCAAAUUUGAAAUCUGGCUCUUUCAGAGUCCGAGUUGUAAUUUGCAGAGGGCGCUUUGGCUUUGGCAGCGGUCCAAGUUCCUUGGAACAGGACGUCACAGAGGGUGAGAAUCCCGUACGUGGUCGCUAGCUAUUGCCGUGUAAAGCCCCUUCGACGAGUCGAGUUGUUUGGGAAUGCAGCUCUAAAUGGGAGGUAAAUUUCUUCUAAAGCUAAAUAUUGGCCAGAGACCGAUAGCGCACAAGUAGAGUGAUCGAAAGAUGAAAAGCACUUUGGAAAGAGAGUCAAACAGCACGUGAAAUUGUUGAAAGGGAAGCGCUUGCAGCCAGACUUGCUUGCAGUUGCUCAUCCGGGCUUUUGCCCGGUGCACUCUUCUGCAGGCAGGCCAGCAUCAGUUUGGGCGGUGGGAUAAAGGUCUCUGACACGUUCCUUCCUUCGGGUUGGCCAUAUAGGGGAGACGUCAUACCACCAGCCUGGACUGAGGUCCGCGCAUCUGCUAGGAUGCUGGCGUAAUGGCUGUAAGCGGCCCGUCUUGAAACACGGACCAAGGAGUCUAACAUCUAUGCGAGUGUUUGGGUGUCAAGCCCGAGCGCGUAAUGAAAGUGAACGGAGGUGGGAACCCGCAAGGGCGCACCAUCGACCGAUCCUGAAGUUUACGGAAGGAUUUGAGUAAGAGCAUGGCUGUUGGGACCCGAAAGAUGGUGAACUAUGCUUGAAUAGGGUGAAGCCAGAGGAAACUCUGGUGGAGGCUCGCAGCGGUUCUGACGUGCAAAUCGAUCGUCAAAUUUGGGCAUAGGGGCA